AUGUUUCUUCUUCUGACUUACUGGAUUAUUACAGGUAUCACAGCAGAAGAUGUGACAGGGGUUUAUUAUCAGCUGGAAAACAGCUCCGUAUGUCUGCAUGUAAAACACCCUCCACCGCAUUUUGGAGCUCAUUGGCUUCUGCCAGGAACAGGACCAAAAAGGGAUGGUGUUUCUGAAAAGGGCAUGAACUCUACAUUAAAAAACAAAGUGGAUUAUGAUUCUGAAAACAAUUCUUUGUGUAUUAAAAACCUGACCAACGCAGACAGUGGCAUUUAUGAAUUCAAUUUCAUUGACUCGUUUUCUUAUAUAAAUGAGAAGUACAGAAUCAUUGUUCAAGGUAAAUUCUCUUUAACUGUGUUUACUCAUUUCUGCAUGUCUGAGUUUUGCAUUGUGAUAGUUUUACUCAUCCUAACGCUGGAGGCCGUAAUGAUGCCUGUGUGUGUUGCAGGUCAGGUUCCUAGACCUGUCGUAGUCAUGUCAGAGCUGGACACCAACACGUCUGCUGGGAUGUGCAACAUCUCAGUCAACUGCUCCAUCCGGAGCGAGUGGCUGUGGUCCUUCUGCGACGCCGACGCGUGCAGGACGGCGCAGGCGUCACUGAGCGAGGUCAACAUCAGCAUCAGCAUCGGCAUCAGCAUCACCGGCAACAGGACGGUCGUCUGCAGUGGCAACAACAGAGUCAGCACAAAAAGUGUUUUCAGAAGAAUUCCAUCAACGUGCCACAGUCAUUUUAAGAAGCCUGAACCCAAAGAUCCAGAUCAACAGCUUCUUCUCACAUUAUUAGUUAUAGCAGUUUGCCUUUUUCUACUUGUAUUUAUCGUCUUUAUAACUAAAAAGCUGUUGUUACUGAAGCUUGAUCAGACAUCCACUACUCAUUUAAUUGAGAACCAGCAGGCAGAGUCUCCGACACAACGGGAGCCCCGAGUCUCUACCUCCUCAUCCGUCGCCUAUGAGAACGUAGACGCCAUCCAUCCCAGUGAGACCAGCGGCACGAGAGAGGAGCCCGGCUCCACGCACGGCCCUGCGGUGAACACGGUCUACAGCGUUUUACAGCCGACCAAACGGAAACCUUCUCAGGGGACGGGCGACGACUGCAAAGUUAGCACAGGACCACAGGAAGCGCAGGUGGCAUCAGCUUCACAGGGCGAGCAGCCCCUGCAAGUCGACACAGUGUACAGCAUGCUGCAAAGGCCCCGACAUAAACAGUAGAACAGAAACCUGGGGAAUCAUGGGAACAUUGAUGCAAAAGAAUAAAAAGAUGCUUGAAGAUGAGUUCA
rnacentral:lncRNA from 1 species